rnacentral:rRNA from 1 species
CUACGGGUUGCUGCAGUGGGGAAUAUUGCACAAUGGGCGCAAGCCUGAUGCAGCCAUGCCGCGUGUAUGAAGAAGGCCUUCGGGUUGUCCAUUACUUUCCGCUUGUCUGAAGGGAGUAAAGUUAAUACCUUUGCUCAUUGACGUUACCCGCAGAAGAAGCACCGGCUAACUCCGUGCCAGCAGCCGCGGUAAUACGGAGGGUGCAAGCGUUAAUCGGAAUUACUGGGCGUAAAGCGCACGCAGGCGGUUUGUUAAGUCAGAUGUGAAAUCCCCGGGCUCAACCUGGGAACUGCAUCUGAUACUGGCAAGCUUGAGUCUCGUAGAGGGGGGUAGAAUUCCAGGUGUAGCGGUGAAAUGCGUAGAGAUCUGGAGGAAUACCGGUGGCGAAGGCGGCCCCCUGGACGAAGACUGACGCUCAGGUGCGAAAGCGUGGGGAGCAAACAGGAUUAGAUACCCCGGUAGUC